rnacentral:misc_RNA from 1 species
CAGAGUUCAUGCCCUCACGGGUAGACCUCCCACCCUUGAAUAUUAUACCAUAGUUGCUUCGGCAGGCCGGGGCAACCCCCGGGGCUUCGGCCUUGGUGUGCCUGCCAGAGGAAAUAAACUCUGUUUUUAGUGAUGUCUGAGUACUAUAUAAUAGUUA